rnacentral:rRNA from 1 species
GCCAUCAUUCAGUUGGGCACUUUAAAGAGACUGCCGGUGUUAAGCCGAAGGAAGGUGGGGAUGACGUCAAGUCCUCAUGGCCUUUAUGUCCAGGGCUACACACGUGCUACAAUGGGUGGUACAAAGAGCAGCAAACUCGCGAGAGUAAGCGAAUCUCAAAAAGCCAUCCUCAGUUCGGAUUGGAGUCUGCAACUCGACUCCAUGAAGUUGGAAUCGCUAGUAAUCGCGCAUCAGCAUGGCGCGGUGAAUACGUUCCCGGGCCUU